GCUUGUCUCAAAGAUUAAGCCAUGCAUGUCUAAGUAUAAACAACUUUGUACUGUGAAACUGCGAAUGGCUCAUUAUAUCAGUUAUAGUCUACUCGAUAGUACCUUACUACUUGGAUAACCGUAGUAAUUCUAGAGCUAAUACAUGCGUAAAUACCCAACUGCUUGUCGGACGGGUAGCAUUUAUUAGAUUGAAACCAAUAUUCCUUGUGUCUAUUGCGAUGAUUCAUAAUAACUGAUCGAAUCUCAAAUUUGAGAUAAAUCAUUCAAGUUUCUGCCCUAUCAGCUUUCGAUGGUAGUGUAUUGGACUACCAUGGCAGUAACGGGUAACGAAGAAUUAGGGUUCGAUUUCGGAGAGGGAGCAUGAGAAACGGCUACCACAUCUAAGGAAGGCAGCAGG
rnacentral:rRNA from 1 species